AACGAACGCUGGCGGCAUGCCUUACACAUGCAAGUCGAACGGCAGCACGGGGGGCAACCCCUGGUGGCGAGUGGCGAACGGGUGAGUAAUGUAUCGGAACGUACCCUGUAGCGGGGGAUAACGCGUCGAAAGAUGUGCUAAUACCGCAUACGCUCUACGGAGGAAAGCGGAGGACCGCAAGGCUCCGCACUACAGGAGCCGCCGAUAUCGGAUUAGCUAGUUGGUGGGGUAACGGCCCACCAAGGCAACGAUCCGUAGCUGGUCUGAGAGGACGAUCAGCCACACUGGAACUGACACACGGUCCAGACUCCUACGGGAGGCAGCAGUGGGGAAUUUUGGACAAUGGGCGCAAGCCUGAUCCAGCCAUGCCGCGUGAGUGAAGAAGGCCUUCGGGUUGUAAAGCUCUUUCGGCGGGGACGAAACGGUUCGUGCUAACACCACGGACUAAUGACGGUACCCGAAGAAGAAGCACCGGCUAACUACGUGCCAGCCGCCGCAGUAAUAC
rnacentral:rRNA from 1 species